UACGUAGGUGGCAAGCGUUGUCCGGAUUUACUGGGCGUAAAGAGCGCGCAGGCGGUCGUCCAAGUCGCGUGUGAAAGCCCCCGGCUCAACUGGGGAGGGUCACGCGAUACUGGUCGACUCGAAGGCAGGAGAGGGUAGUGGAAUUCCCGGUGUAGCGGUGAAAUGCGUAGAUAAUCGGGAAGAACACCAAAGGCGAAAGCAACUUU
rnacentral:rRNA from 1 species